UAAUGGAGAGUUUGAUCCUGGCUCAGGACGAACGCUGGCGGCGUGCCUAAUACAUGCAAGUCGAGCGGGGGUCUUCGGACCCUAGCGGCGGACGGGUGAGUAACACGUAGGCAACCUGCCUGUAAGAUCGGGAUAACAUAGGGAAACUUAUGCUAAUACCGGAUAGAGUUUUGCUUCGCAUGAAGCGAAACGGAAAGAUGGCGCAAGCUAUCACUUGCAGAUGGGCCUGCGGCGCAUUAGCUAGUUGGUGAGGUA
rnacentral:rRNA from 1 species